rnacentral:rRNA from 1 species
GACGAACGCUGGCGGCGUGCUUAAUACAUGCAAGUCGAACGGAAAGGCCCUGCUCUUGUGGGGUGCUCGAGUGGCGAACGGGUGAGUAACACGUGAGUAACCUGCCCUUGUCUUUGGGAUAACUUCAGGAAACUGGGGCUAAUACCGGAUAGGAGCUCCUGCUGCAUGGUGGGGGUUGGAAAGUUUCGGCGGUUGGGGAUGGACUAGCGGCUUAUCAGCUUGAUGGUGGGGUAGUGGCUUACCAAGGCUUUGACGGGUAGCCGGCCUGAGAGGGUGACCGGCCACAUUGGGACUGAGAUACGGCCCAGUCUCCUACGGUACGCAGCAGUGGGGAAUAUUGCACAGUGGGCGGAAGCCUGAUGCAGCGACGCCGCGUGCGGGAUGACGUCCUUCGGGUUGUAAACAGCUUUCUCCUGUGACGAAGCGUGAGUGACGGUAAUGGGUAAAGAAGCACCGGCUAACUACGUG